UACGAAGGGGGCUAGCGUUGUUCGGAAUUACUGGGCGUAAAGGGCGCGUAGGCGGCCUUCUAAGUCAGACGUGAAAUCCCCCGGCUUAACCUGGGAACUGCGUCUGAUACUGGGAGGCUCGAGUAUGGGAGAGGGAUGUAGAAUUCCAGGUGUAGCGGUGAAAUGCGUAGAUAUCUGGAGGAAUACCGGUGGCGAAGGCGGCAUCCUGGACCGGCAUUGACGCUGAGGAGCGAAAGCCAGGGAGCAAAGCGGG
rnacentral:rRNA from 1 species